rnacentral:rRNA from 1 species
AACGAACGCUGGCGGCAUGCCUAACACAUGCAAGUCGAACGAGAUCUUCGGGUCUAGUGGCGCACGGGUGCGUAACGCGUGGGAAUCUGCCCUUUGGUUCGGAAUAACAGUUGGAAACGACUGCUAAUACCGGAUGAUGACGAAAGCCCAAAGAUUUAUCGCCAGAGGAUGAGCCCGCGUAGGAUUAGCUAGUUGGUGUGGUAAAGGCGCACCAAGGCGACGAUCCUUAGCCGGUCUGAGAGGAUGAUCAGCCACACUAGGACUGAGACACGGCCCAGACUCCUACGGGAGGCAGCAGUGGGGAAUAUUGGGCAAUGGGCGAAAGCCUGAUCCAGCAAUGCCGCGUGAGUGAUGAAGGCCUUAGGGUUGUAAAGCUCUUUUACCCGGGAUGAUAAUGACAGUACCGGGAGAAUAAGCUCCGGCUAACUCCGUGCCAGCCGCCGCGGUAA